rnacentral:rRNA from 1 species
GGGACCUCACCCGGCCCGGACACCGCGAGGAUUGACAGACUGAGAGCUCUUUCUCGAUUCGGUGGGUGGUGGUGCAUGGCCGUUCUUAGUUGGUGGAGCGAUCUGUCUGGUUAAUUCCGAUAACGAACGAGACCCCAACCUGCUAACUAGCCCUCGGGUCCUGCUUCUGUUGGGCCCGACGGAAUGAUUCGCUUCUUAGAGGGACUCGCGGCGCCUAGCCGCACGAAGGGGGGCGAUAA